rnacentral:rRNA from 1 species
UACGAGAGGUGCAAGCGUUAUUCGGAAUUAUUGGGCGUAAAGGGUGCGUAGACGGUAUAUUAAGUCAACUGUUAAAUUCUUCGGCCUAACCGGAGAUCAGCGGUAGAAACUGAUAUGCUAGAGGAUGGAAGAGAGAAGUGGAAUUCUCGGAGUAGCGGUAAAAUGCGUAGAUCUCGAGAGGAACACCGAUGGCGAAGGCAGCUUCUUGGUCCAUUCCUGACGUUGAGGCACGAAAGCGUGGGGAGCAAACAGG